GACGAACGCUGGCGGCGUGCUUAACACAUGCAAGUCGAACGGUGAACGAGGGAGCUUGCUCCCUCCGGAUCAGUGGCGAACGGUUGAGUAACACUUGAGCAUUCUGCCCCGACCUCUGGGUUAAGCUUUGGAAACGACGUCUAUUCCCGGAUACGACCCGGAAGGGCAUCCUCUCCGCGUGGAAAGAACUUCGGUUCGGGAUGAGCUCGCGGCCUAUCAGCUUGUUGGUGAGGUAACGGCUCACCAAGGCGACGACGGGUAGCCGGCCUGAGAGGGUGACCGGCCACACUGGGACUGAGACACGGCCCAGACUCCUACGGGAGGCAGCAGUGGGGAAUAUUGCACAAUGGGCGCAAGCCUGAUGCAGCAACGCCGCGUGAGGGACGACGGCCUUCGGGUUGUAAACCUCUUUUAGCAGGGAAGAAGCGAAAGUGACGGUACCUGCAGAAAAAGCACCGGCUAACUACGUG
rnacentral:rRNA from 1 species